rnacentral:lncRNA from 1 species
UUGGUUGGUAUGCAGUGAAUAGUUAAAAGUUAUCUAAUGAUAAUUGUUGAAUUUGAUUCGACUAACUGAUCCAUGUUUCUUUUCGAACAAAUCGGAGUAAGGAGGACAGGGAGGAAAGGUACGUGGGUCUCUUUCGAUUCUCGCAGUAAAGUGAAACAUUCGCUGGAACUGUGGUAGGAUUAUCGCUGGAACCCAAGUAAUUCAUAGGUUAGUUCAUCAGUAUUUAGUCUCUGCAUACAAAGAUAGGAAUAGAUCUAUAUAGUUUUGCUUACUCUAUAGAAAUGAACAUGAAUAUUCACUACAAAGAAAUGGAAAAGCAGUUGACUAAGUAGGAAACACUACUUGAACUCAAAGGGUCAUAGAUAUAUAAAGUUCUCCCAUAGAUUAGGUGUAUAAAUAAUUGGGGAUUGUAAAUCAUGACCACACUUUUUGUGAAACUUAACAUGGUUAUAGUACGUUGAUGUUGUCAAUAUGUUGUUGAUGUCAAAUAACUAUGUAUUCGCUGUUAUGUUACUAAAUUAAAUUGAAGACAUAAUAUGAAUUGUGUCAAUAGCAUUGUAGUGUGCAACAUAGCCGUGGUAAUGUAUAGAUCAGACGGUUAUGUACGCAAUAUUAGUGUUUGUGCCCGAUAUUUUAUAUGACUAUAUUUGUUGAUUACAACUUUAGCUUGUCCAUGCUCAUAUUGAUUAUAUUACGACUAUAAUUCACCUUUUUUAUAUUGACCUGUGUAGAAUGACAACAGAAGAAUUAUGCCCUAUGAGUGAUAUUGGAAAGACAUUCUAGUGGUACGAUGAUUGGUAUGGAAAGA